rnacentral:rRNA from 1 species
UGGGGAAUAUUGCGCAAUGGGGGGAACCCUGACGCAGCAACGCCGCGUGCAGGAAGAAGGUCUUCGGAUUGUAAACUGUUGUCGCAAGGGAAGAAGACAGUGACGGUACCUUGUGAGAAAGUCACGGCUAACUACGUGCCAGCAGCCGCGGUAAUACGUAGGUGACAAGCGUUGUCCGGAUUUACUGGGUGUAAAGGGCGCGUAGGCGGACUGUCAAGUCAGUCGUGAAAUACCGGGGCUUAACCCCGGGGCUGCGAUUGAAACUGACAGCCUUGAGUAUCGGAGAGGAAAGCGGAAUUCCUAGUGUAGCGGUGAAAUGCGUAGAUAUUAGGAGGAACACCAGUGGCGAAGGCGGCUUGCUGGGCUUUUACUGACGCUGAGGCUCGAAAGUGUGGGGAGCAAACAGGAUUAGAUACCC